AUUGAACGCUGGCGGCAGGCCUAACACAUGCAAGUCGAGCGGAUGAAGGGGGCUUGCUCCUGGAUUCAGCGUCGGACGGGUGAGUAAUGCCUAGGAAUCUGCCUGGUAGUGGGGGAUAACGUCCGGAAACGGGCGCUAAUACCGCAUACGUCCUGAGGGAGAAAGUGGGGGAUCUUCGGACCUCACGCUAUCAGAUGAGCCUAGGUCGGAUUAGCUAGUUGGUGGGGUAAAGGCCUACCAAGGCGACGAUCCGUAACUGGUCUGAGAGGAUGAUCAGUCACACUGGAACUGAGACACGGUCCAGACUCCUACGGGAGGCAGCAGUGGGGAAUAUUGGACAAUGGGCGAAAGCCUGAUCCAGCCAUGCCGCGUGUGUGAAGAAGGUCUUCGGAUUGUAAAGCACUUUAAGUUGGGAGGAAGGGCAGUAAGUUAAUACCUUGCUGUUUUGACGUUACCAACAGAAUAAGCACCGGCUAACUUCGUG
rnacentral:rRNA from 1 species